rnacentral:rRNA from 1 species
GGCUGGAAUCGCUAGUAAUCGCGGAUCAGAAUGCCGCGGUGAAUACGUUCCCGGGUCUUGUACACACCGCCCGUCACACCAUGGGAGUUGGAAAUGCCCGAAGUCAGUGGCCCAACCGCAAGGAGGGAGCUGCCGAAGGCAGGUCCGGUAACCGGGGUGAAGUCGUAACAAGGUACC